AUAAAAUUAAAUAUUUUCGAUCCAGGGAAAACGGUGAAAAUCCGUUGCAGAAGACUGCUGCUGUAACCGGAGACAAAUGCUUCAUUCAUGCCACUGUGCAAUUUAAAUAUGCAUGGGAAGGCGGAGUUGUUUGGAUGACCCGGGAGCCAGAAAACCUGACGAAAAAUCCAAAUAUUU
rnacentral:ncRNA from 2 species